UAGAGAGCUAGAAUAGACAGAUUUUGAGAUAUUUAUCGUUAAAUGUAAAAUAGCUGACAUUUGCGGAAGCAUUGCAGAAUUUAUUGAUUGAGCGUUAAUAAUAUUUGUAGAAGACAUUAUACAACUCGAUAAUUCUUCUACUAACGUUAACUUCCUAACAGGUAUUUUUAAUUCACUCAAAACUCUGAUCAAUUGAAACAGGUUCACAUUAUCAUAUGCACCCUCAACAUCCAGAAAUACACAUAUUGCAUUAGAGUGAGCAAAGAUAGAAUUUUUGAUGUCAGCAAUGAAUGAAACGAAGCCUUCAACUGCACUUUUACCUUUUCUGAAACCUAGUUGAUAAUCAGGU